UAGGGAGACCAUCUGAUAGUCGACCGAACCUAAACAAUAGGUCGUUGUCAGUCAUCCCUGGUCGUUCGAGGAAUAGAUGUCAAAGCUUUCAAACUAUUAACUGGUUCGGAACUCGCGGGCUAUUAGCUCAGUUGGUUAGAGCGCACCCCUGAUAAGGGUGAGGUCCCUGGUUCAAAUCCAGGAUGGCCCACCUGGAAAAAAGUGAUGAAUUGUCAGUAAUGAGUAAUGGAUAAUCAAGGAUUAAUUCAGGAUUAAUUCAGGACUCAUACAAUCAAAAUCAGAACUUACAAGUGUGGGGGUAUAGCUCAGUUGGUAGAGCGCCUGCCUUGCACGCAGGAAGUCAGCGGUUCGAGUCCGCUUACCUCCACUCUCACUAACUAUUACCACCGCCAAAAAAACCCAAAAAAAUAGAAAUCAGCACCCAGACUAACUUGGUCAACAAAGAAGUCGGAAUGCUGGAGUCUAGAACUCUAGUCAGAACCUUGAAAACUGCAUAGAAAUUAAGUCAUCAAAGCGUGUCAGUCAUCCGAGAAAUCGGAGUAUCUGACCAGCGACCACCAUGAAAAAAUCAAGU
rnacentral:tRNA from 8 species